rnacentral:sRNA from 1 species
GAAAAGUGAUGUACUGAAAUACUGACCCUUCCAGCUGGUUAACUUUCAUAAUCAUGCAUUUACUUUUCAAUGGCAACUGAAUAUAUGACUGCCUGAUGAUUCAGGGGAAAAAAUGCAGUAUUGUGUGUGGAAUUGGAAGAGAUUCAAAAUGUGGGAAGAUAAAUGAAGGGGUCUAGAUGUAAAUGUCAGUGGAAAGGAGAGCUACCACCACUAAGGUUUAUAUUCUGCAAGAUCCUGAAGAUACUUUCCUUCUUUUCCGGCUGAAAACACAGUUAAAUCACUUUCAAAGUUAAAAGACUAUUAAGAACACAAGAUGGGGACUCCUGGUUCUGGAAGGAAAAGAACACCUGUGAAAGACCGAUUUUCUGCAGAAGAUGAAGCUUUGAGUAACAUUGCCAGAGAGGCAGAGGCAAGGCUGGCAGCAAAACGGGCUGCCCGGGCAGAAGCAAGAGAUAUACGCAUGAGAGAACUGGAACGGCAACAAAAAGAGGGAGUUGAGGAUGCAUUGUCCAUUCGAAGUGUUGGCAGUCACAGGGUUGGUAUUUUAACUUGUCUACACAAUA